rnacentral:tRNA from 2 species
GGAGGAGUACUCAAGAGGCCGAAGAGGAUGGUUUGCUAAACCAUUAGAUCGCGCGAAGCGGUGCCGGGGUUCGAAUCCCCGCUCCUCCGCCA